rnacentral:rRNA from 1 species
CGCUUUUUGGGUUAUAUAAAAAGUAAAACCUGCCCAAUGAGAAAUUUAAAUGGCCGCGGUAAUUUGACCGUGCGAAGGUAGCAUAAUCAUUAGUCUAUUAAUUGUGGACUGGAAUGAAUGGUUUAAAUGAAUGAAGACUGUCUCUUAAAUAAAAUUAAAUUUUAAUUUUUUGUGAAGAUGCAAAGAUGAAAUUAAAAGACGAGAAGACCCUAUUAAGCUUUAUAAAUUUUUUACUUAAAAAGAUUUAUAGUAAGAGUUUUAUUUUGUUGGGGCGACAGUAAAGAUAAGUAACCUUUAUAAGAAAGAUAAAUUUAAUAGAUUUUUGAUCCAUAAUAUAUGAUUAUAAGAACAAGUUACUAUAGGGAUAACAGCGUAAUUUUAUCGGAGAGUUCAUAUUGAUGAUAAAGAUUGCGACCUCGAUGUUGAAUUAGGAGACCUAAAAGGUGCAGCUGUUUUUUAAGGUAGACUGUUCGUCUAUAAAACUCCUACA